rnacentral:rRNA from 1 species
GGUUAAGCGACUAAGCGUACACGGUGGAUGCCCUGGCAGUCAGAGGCGAUGAAGGACGUGCUAAUCUGCGAUAAGCGUCGGUAAGGUGAUAUGAACCGUUAUAACCGGCGAUUUCCGAAUGGGGAAACCCAGUGUGAUUCGUCACACUAUCAUUACGUGAAUACAUAGCGUAAUGAAGCGAACCGGGGGAACUGAAACAUCUAAGUACCCCGAGGAAAAGAAAUCAACCGAGAUUCCCCCAGUAGCGGCGAGCGAACGGGGAGCAGCCCAGAGUCUGAAUCAGCUUGUGUGUUAGUGGAACGGUCUGGAAAGUCCGACGGUACAGGGUGAUAGUCCCGUACACCAAAAUGCACAGGUUGUGAACUCGAAGAGUAGGGCGGGACACGUGGUAUCCUGUCUGAAUAUGGGGGGACCAUCCUCCAAGGCUAAAUACUCCUGACUGACCGAUAGUGAACCAGUACCGUGAGGGAAAGGCGAAAAGAACCCCGGCGAGGGGAGUGAAAAAGAACCUGAAACCGUGUACGUACAAGCAGUGGGAGCAUCCUUUUGGGUGUGACUGCGUACCUUUUGUAUAAUGGGUCAGCGACUUAUAUUCUGUAGCAAGGUUAACCGUAUAGGGGAGCCGAAGGGAAACCGAGUCUUAACUGGGCGUUAAGUUGCAGGGUAUAGACCCGAAACCCGGUGAUCUAGCCAUGGGCAGGUUGAAGGUUGGGUAACACUAACUGGAGGACCGAACCGACUAAUGUUGAAAAAUUAGCGGAUGACUUGUGGCUG